rnacentral:rRNA from 1 species
CGUAGUCCGGAUUGGAGUCUGCAACUCGACUCCAUGAAGUCGGAAUCGCUAGUAAUCGUGGAUCAGAAUGCCACGGUGAAUACGUUCCCGGGCCUUGUACACACCGCCCGUCACACCAUGGGAGUGGGUUGCAAAAGAAGUAGGUAGCUUAACCUUCGGGAGGGCGCUUACCACUUUGUGAUUCAUGACUGGGGUGAAGUCGUAACAAGGUAACCGUAGGGGAACCUGCGGUUGGA